CUUCACCGAGCCCAGCCACAACGGCCGGUCCGCGUCGCGGUCCCGCCCGUAGGUCGCGAUCAGUGCCUGCGCCUC
rfam:Streptomyces ghanaensis ATCC 14672 supercont1.1 genomic scaffold, whole genome shotgun sequence.